UCUGGUUGAUCCUGCCAGACCCGAUUGCUAUCCGGGUGGGACUAAGCCAUGCAAGUCGUACGGUGCACCUUGCACCGUGGCGGACUGCUCAGUAACAAGUGAUCAACUUACCCUACGGUGGAGCAUACCCUCGGGAAACUGAGGCUAAUACUCCGUAGUUGACAAGGCCUGGAAGGGUUUGUCAUCAAUAGUGUAGUUCAAAUGGGAAUUACAUGCCGUAGGAUAGGAUCGCUCCCGAUUAUGGUUGUUGGCGAGGUAAUGGCUCACCAAGCCUAUGAUCGGUACGGGCCGUGAGAGCGGGAGCCCGGAGAUGGGUACUGAGACAAGGACCCAGGCCUUACGAGGCGCAGCAGGCGCGAAACCUUUACAAUGCACGAAAGUGUGAUAAGGUUACCCGGAGUGCUAAGAGAAAACUUUUAGCUGUUGUGGGGAGUAGGUAUCCCCACCAGAAAGGAGAGGGCAAGGCUGGUGCCAGCCGCCGCGGUAAAACCAGCUCUUCAAGUGAUCGGGACUUUUAUUGGGCUUAAAGCGUCCGUAGCCGGGUUGGUAAGUUCCUGGUAAAAUCUGGCCGCUUAACGGUCAGCAGGCUAGGAAUACUGCCUUCCUUGAGGGUGGGAAAGGUCUGAGGUACUCUGGGGGUAGCGGUGAAAUGUGAUAUCCUCAGGGGACCACCAGUGGCGAAGGCGUCAGACUGGAACACGCCUGACGGUGAGGGACGAAAGCUAGGGGAGCGAACGGGAUCAGAUACCCCGGUAGUCCUAGCUGUAAACGAUGUGCGUUAGGUGUCGGUGGGGCUAGGAGCCGCACCGGUGCCGUAGAGAAAUCGUUAAACGCACCGCCUGGGAAGUACGCUCGCAAGAGUGAAACUUAAAGGAAUUGGCGGGGUAGCACCACAAGGGGUGAAGCCUGCGGUUCAAUUGGACCCAACGCCGGGAAGCUUACCAGGGGCGACAGCAGUAUGAAGGUCAGGCUGACGACCUUACCAGACAAGCUGAGCGGAGGUGCAUGGCCGUCGCCAGUUCGUGCCGUGAGGUAUCCUGUUAAGUCAGGCAACGAACGAGACCCACACACUUAGUUACCAGCAACCGUCUUCGGAUGGGUUGGGAACGCUAGGUGAACCGCCGCCGUGCAGACGGAGGAAGGGGUGGGCCACGGCAGGUCAGUAUGCCCCCAAUCCCCUGGGCCACACGCGGGCUGCAAUGGUGGGGACAAUGGGUUGCAACACCGAAAGGUGAAGCCAAUCUCGAAACCCCAUCUCAGUUGGGAUUGUCGGCUGCAACUCGCCGACAUGAACGUGGAAUCCCUAGUAAUCGUGUGUCAACAUCGCACGGUGAAUACGUCUCUGCUCCUUGCACACACCGCCCGUCGC
rnacentral:rRNA from 1 species